ACUCAGGCACGAUCUUUGCCCUUUAUAGCAGUGAAGAACCGACCUGAAGUUUCAACCCUGAGGGA
rfam:Corynebacterium casei LMG S-19264, complete genome.